CCUACGGGUGGGCAGCAGUGAGGAAUAUUGGUCAAUGGUCGGGAGACUGAACCAGCCAAGCCGCGUGAGGGAUGAAGGUACAGAGUAUCGUAAACCUCUUUUGUCAGGGAACAAAGGCGGGGACGUGUCCCCGGUUGAGUGUACCUGAAGAAAAAUCAUCGUCUAACUCCGUUCCCGCAGCCGCGGUAAUACGGGGGAUGCGAGCGUUAUACGGAUUUAUUGGGGUUAACGGGUGCGCAGGCGGUCUGUUAAGUCAGCGGUCAACGCCCGGGGCUCCACCCCGGCCCGCCGUUGAAACUGGCAGUCUCGAGUUGGAGAGAAGUAUGCGGAAUGCGCGGUGUAGCGGUGAAAUGCAUAGAUAGCGCGCAGAACUCCGAUUGCGAAGGCAGCAUGCCGGCUCCACACUGACGCUGAGGCACGAAAGCGUGGGUAUCGAACAGGAUUAGAUACCCCAGUAGUC
rnacentral:rRNA from 1 species